AACGAACGCUGGCGGCAGGCCUAACACAUGCAAGUCGAACGGCAGCACAGGGGAGCUUGCUCCCUGGGUGGCGAGUGGCGGACGGGUGAGGAAUACAUCGGAAUCUACCCUUUCGUGGGGGAUAACGGAGGGAAACUUACGCUAAUACCGCAUACGAUCUGAGGAUGACAGCAGGGGACCGCAAGGCCUUGCGCGAUUGGAUGAGCCGAUGUCCGAUUAGCUAGUUGGCGGGGUAAAGGCCCACCAAGACGACGAUCGGUAGCUGGUCUGAGAGGCUAAUCAGCGACACUGCAACUGAGCCAAGGUCCAGCAUCCUACGGGAGGCAGGAGUGGAGAGUAUUGGACAGUGGGAGCAAGCCUGCACCAGCCAUGCCGCGUGUGUGAAGAGGGCCUUCGGGUUGUGAAGCGCUUUUGUUGGGAAAGAAAUCCUGUCGGCUAGUACCCGGCGGGGAUGACGGUACCCAAAGAAUAAGCACCGGCUAACUUCGUGCCAGCCGCCGCCGUAA
rnacentral:rRNA from 1 species